AACGAACGCUGGCGGCAGGCCUAACACAUGCAAGUCGAACGGGAUCUUCGGAUCUAGUGGCGGACGGGUGAGUAACGCGUGGGAACGUGCCCUUUGGUUCGGAAUAGCCCUGGGAAACUGGGAGUAAUACCGGAUGAGCCCUUCGGGGGAAAGAUUUAUCGCCAAAGGAUCGGCCCGCGUUGGAUUAGGUAGUUGGUGGGGUAAUGGCCUACCAAGCCGACGAUCCAUAGCUGGUUUGAGAGGAUGAUCAGCCACACUGGGACUUAGACACGGCCCAGACUCCUACGGGAGGCAGCAGUGGGGAAUCUUAGACAAUGGGGGAAACCCUGAUCUAGCCAUGCCGCGUGAGCGAUGAAGGCCUUAGGGUUGUAAAGCUCUUUCGUGGGGGAAGAUAAUGACUGUACCCCAAGAAGAAGCCCCGGCUAACUCCGUGCCAGCAGCCGCGGUAACAC
rnacentral:rRNA from 1 species